rnacentral:rRNA from 1 species
GGAGGGCAAGUCUGGUGCCAGCAGCCGCGGUAAUUCCAGCUCCAAUAGCGUAUAUUAAAGUUGUUGCAGUUAAAAAGCUCGUAGUUGAAUUUCUGUACAAUCCCAGCACUAGCAUCUGUUAGUCUGUGGAUUAUGCAUCCGCUUACAAGCUUAGUCCGGUCUUCAUUGGUCGACUAAGGGAGUAGGCCCUUUACUUUGAAAAAAUUAGAGUGUUUCAAGCAGGCAAUGGCUCGAAUACAUUAGCAUGGAAUAAUGGAAUAGGACUGAUGUCCAUGAAUUGGUGAAUGGAUAUUAGUAAUGAUUAACAGGGACAGUUGGGGGCAUUAGUACUUAACAGUCAGAGGUGAAAUUCUUGGAUUUGUUAAAGACUAACUUAU